UUUAUACUCUCUCCGUUCAGAAUUACUUGUCGCAGAAAUGGAUGUAUCUAGACAUAUUUUAGUUCUAGAUACAUCCAUUUCCGAGACAAGUAAUUCCGAACGGAGGGAGUAGCAA
rnacentral:pre_miRNA from 1 species